rnacentral:rRNA from 1 species
AACGAACGCUGGCGGCAGGCUUAACACAUGCAAGUCGAGUGCCCCGCAAGGGGAGCGGCAGACGGGUGAGUAACGCGUGGGAACGUACCCUUUGCUACGGAAUAGCUCCGGGAAACCGGAAUUAAUACCGUAUGUGCCCUACGGGGGAAAGAUUUAUCGGCAAAGGAUCGGCCCGCGUUGGAUUAGCUAGUUGGUGGGGUAAUGGCCUACCAAGGCGACGAUCCAUAGCUGGUCUGAGAGGAUGAUCAGCCACAUUGGGACUGAGACGCGGCCCAAACUCCUACGGGAGGCAGCAGUGGGGAAUAUUGGACAAUGGGCGCAAGCCUGAUCCAGCCAUGCCGCGUGAGUGAUGAAGGCCUUAGGGUUGUAAAGCUCUUUCACCGGAGAAGAUAAUGACGGUAUCCGGAGAAGAAGCCCCGGCUAACUUCGUGCCAGCCGCCGCAGUAAGAC